GCAUCAGUGGUUUAGUGGUAAAAUCCAUCGUUGCCAUGCAUAGGAAUCUCCUAUAAUGAAUUCGAUGGGCCCCGCGUUCGAUUCGCGGCUGAUGCA